rnacentral:lncRNA from 1 species
CUAAAACGUAUGAGACAAUAAUUGGCAAAAUUGAAAACAGGCAAUAUAACAAUAAUAGCUGUGUUUCUCUUUGACCAGGAUCUGCCAACAUAGGCCAGAUUCACACCAAGACCAUGAAGUCAAACCAAGGCUGUGAAGAAGGCAGCUUGGAUCAUCAUCUAGAAGUACUACACACACCCACUUAAGGAAUUCCACACCAACAACCACCUGUGCACAGAUAUCACCAUGAUUCCGCCUGCUAAGACAGAACUGGACCCCGCAGUCAGAGAAGAAACAUAGCCUUUUUCUGAGCCUACGAGACAU